rnacentral:rRNA from 1 species
AGUGAACGCUGGCGGUAGGCCUAACACAUGCAAGUCGAACGGCAGCACAGUAAGAGGUUGCUCUUACGGGUGGCGAGUGGCGGACGGGUGAGGAAUACAUCUGAAUCUACUUUUUCGUGGGGGAUAACGUAGGGAAACUUACGCUAAUACCGCAUACGACCUACGGGUGAAAGCAGGGGAUCUUCGGACCUUGCGCGAUUGAAUGAGCCGAUGUCGGAUUAGCUAGUUGGCGGGGUAAAGGCCCACCAAGGCGACGAUCCGUAGCUGGUCUGAGAGGAUGAUCAGCCACACUGGAACUGAGACACGGUCCAGACUCCUACGGGAGGCAGCAGUGGGGAAUAUUGGACAAUGGGCGCAAGCCUGAUCCAGCCAUACCGCGUGGGUGAAGAAGGCCUUCGGGUUGUAAAGCCCUUUUGUUGGGAAAGAAAAGCAGCAGGUUAAUACCCCGCUGUUCUGACGGUACCCAAAGAAUAAGCACCGGCUAACUUCGUG